GGGGAAUUUUGGACAAUGGGCGCAAGCCUGAUCCAGCAAUGCCGCGUGCAGGAUGAAGGCCUUCGGGUUGUAAACUGCUUUUGUACGGAGCGAAAAGGCUCUCUCUAAUACAGGGGGCUCAUGACGGUACCGUAAGAAUAAGCACCGGCUAACUACGUGCCAGCAGCCGCGGUAAUACGUAGGGUGCGAGCGUUAAUCGGAAUUACUGGGCGUAAAGCGUGCGCAGGCGGUCUUGUAAGACAGAUGUGAAAUCCCCGGGCUCAACCUGGGACCUGCAUUUGUGACUGCAAGGCUGGAGUACGGCAGAGGGGGAUGGAAUUCCGCGUGUAGCAGUGAAAUGCGUAGAUAUGCGGAGGAACACCGAUGGCGAAGGCAAUCCCCUGGGCCUGUACUGACGCUCAUGCACGAAAGCGUGGGGAGCAAAC
rnacentral:rRNA from 1 species